ACCGGGGAAAAUCGUAUGAAUACACACCAACAAACCGGGGAACACCUUCCAACCGGGGAAUUCCCCGGUUGGUUUUAGGCGAAAAUCUCUAAUCUACGUGAAUGAAAUACCAAACUGUCAAUUUAAAUUAGAAAUCCAACGCCUUCCCCGAUUAGCGGGUUUGUGGCAUGCACAAAAUAUACACAAAUCUUCACCAUAUUACAAUCGAGUGUGUAUCCAGGCUUAUAACAGUUCCCCGGUUGCGCUGUUUAAAAAUCAUACACUCGGUAUUUAUAUCAUUUAGUGAAAGUCAGUUGGAAAAAUGGAGUUUCGAGCGAACAAACGCAUUAAACUAAGGCAACACAAUGACUACUAGAUCUACGGACAGCCAGGAACCAGGACAAACAACAUCCGUACACACGGGAGAAGUCGAUGAGACGAGUACCGAAACUAAAGAACAUAGCGACACUGCACACGAGUACAAUUCACAAGAUGCAGCAGAAAAUAUGUUGAAC